UAGUUUUUUUGUGUCUAUUGUUUUCGAUAAAAGAGUUGAUUUCUUUAUCAUGAAACUAGCUAGAGCUGAGGUUUUAUCUGAGUUGAUGAGCUGGUAGGAUGAUAAUGCCGCGGUUAUUUAUUUGUUUGAUGAAGUGAAAGGGGAGGAGGAUGUAGUCUGUGUGAUAAAGAACACUGCAACUUUAACUGGGUCACUAUUCACCUUACAUGCCUAGCAAGUUCACAUCGAUCUGCCUACAUAAAGAGGUGGUGAUUAUGAUUUGGAGGCAUUCCUGUUUCAAAAGGCUGCUCUUUACAAGUGUAACAUGGCUGGAGCUACUGGUGUUGACAGUAUGACUACGAAUCUUAGACCAACUUGUGCUGAAGCUACUGGUGUUGCUAAUGUUGUGCUGGACGUUAGACCGUGAAUGUGGAAAAAUACGAGUUUUCAAAUAGGCUCUCUGUGUUCCUAGAUACACCUCCCUCCAAGUUUCCAUUGUGAAGAUACCUAAGCAAUGAUGACUCUUUUCAUAACGAUCCAUGUGUGUCAAUGGCGAACUCAGGACCGGGGACGAAUGGAUCGCAGUUCUUCCUGUGCACGGCAAAGACUAAAUGGCUUGAUAAGCAUGUUGUGUUUGGACAGGUUGUUGAUGGAAUGGAUGCUGUGAAGGCGGUAGGACUUCGAAGGCUGUUGUAAUAGCUUAUUGUGGUCAAGUUGUUGCUUAAAUCUUUGGAUGCUGCUUAUAGAUCUAUCUAUGAUCUAUCUAUCGAUUAUGCUUUGAUUUCAUCUUCUGUUAUUAAUGGUUCUUGCUUUGUUUGCUAAGACUAAGAAA